GCGUAAUAGCUCACUGGUCGAGUCGGCCUGCGCGGAAGAUGUAACGGGGCUAAACCAUGCACCGAAGCUGCGGCAGCGACACUAUGUGUUGUUGGGUAGGGGAGCGUUCUGUAAGCCGUUGAAGGUGUGCUGUGAGGCAUGCUGGAGGUAUCAGAAGUGCGAAUGCUGACAUAAGUAACGAUAAUGCGGGUGAAAAACCCGCACGCCGGAAGACCAAGGGUUCCUGUCCAACGUUAAUCGGGGCAGGGUGAGUCGACCCCUAAGGCGAGGCCGAAAGGCGUAGUCGAUGGGAAACAGGNUGCUGGAGGUAUCAGAAGUGCGAAUGCUGACAUAAGUAACGAUAAUGCGGGUGAAAAACCCGCACGCCGGAAGACCAAGGGUUCCUGUCCAACGUUAAUCGGGGCAGGGUGAGUCGACCCCUAAGGCGAGGCCGAAAGGCGUAGUCGAUGGGAAACAGGUUAAUAUUCCUGUACUUGGUGUUACUGCGAAGGGGGGACGGAGAAGGCUAUGUUAGCCGGGCGACGGUUGUCCCGGUUUAAGCAUGUAGGCGGAGAUUCCAGGUAAAUCCGGAGUCUUGCUAACGCUGAGGUGUGAUGACGAGGCACUACGGUGCUGAAGUAACAAAUGCCCUGCUUCCAGGAAAAGCCUCUAAGCAUCAGGUAACACAAAAUCGUACCCCAAACCGACACAGGUGGUCAGGUAGAGAAUACCAAGGCGCUUGAGAGAACUCGGGUGAAGGAACUAGGCAAAAUGGUGCCGUAACUUCGGGAGAAGGCACGCUGAUAUGUAGGUGAAGUGAUUUACUCAUGGAGCUGAAAUCAGUCNCCCCUAAGGCGAGGCCGAAAGGCGUAGUCGAUGGGAAACAGGUUAAUAUUCCUGUACUUGGUGUUACUGCGAAGGGGGGACGGAGAAGGCUAUGUUAGCCGGGCGACGGUUGUCCCGGUUUAAGCAUGUAGGCGGAGAUUCCAGGUAAAUCCGGAGUCUUGUUAACGCUGAGGUGUGAUGACGAGGCACUACGGUGCUGAAGUAACAAAUGCCCUGCUUCCAGGAAAAGCCUCUAAGCAUCAGGUAACACAAAAUCGUACCCCAAACCGACACAGGUGGUCAGGUAGAGAAUACCAAGGCGCUUGAGAGAACUCGGGUGAAGGAACUAGGCAAAAUGGUGCCGUAACUUCGGGAGAAGGCACGCUGAUAUGUAGGUGAAGUGAUUUACUCAUGGAGCUGAAAUCAGUCNUAACGCUGAGGUGUGAUGACGAGGCACUACGGUGCUGAAGUAACAAAUGCCCUGCUUCCAGGAAAAGCCUCUAAGCAUCAGGUAACACAAAAUCGUACCCCAAACCGACACAGGUGGUCAGGUAGAGAAUACCAAGGCGCUUGAGAGAACUCGGGUGAAGGAACUAGGCAAAAUGGUGCCGUAACUUCGGGAGAAGGCACGCUGAUAUGUAGGUGAAGUGAUUUACUCAUGGAGCUGAAAUCAGUCGAAGAUACCAGCUGGCUGCAACUGUUUAUUAAAAACACAGCACUGUGCAAACACGAAAGUGGACGUAUACGGUGUGACGCCUGCCCGGUGCCGGAAGGUUAAUUGAUGGGGUUAUCCGUAAGGAGAAGCUCUUGAUCGAAGCCCCGGUAAACGGCGGCCGUAACUAUAACGGUCCUAAGGUAGCGAAAUUCCUUGUCGGGUAAGUUCCGACCUGCACGAAUGGCGUAAUGAUGGCCAGGCUGUCUCCACCCGAGACUCAGUGAAAUUGAACUCGCUGUGAAGAUGCAGUGUACCCGCGGCAAGACGGAAAGACCCCGUGAACCUUUACUAUAGCUUGACACUGAACACUGGUCCUUGAUGUGUAGGAUAGGUGGGAGGCUUUGAAGUGUGGACGCCAGUCUGCAUGGAGCCAACCUUGAAAUACCACCCUUUAAUGGCUGGUGUUCUAACGUAGACCCGUGAUCCGGGUUGCGGACAGUGUCUGGUGGGUAGUUUGACUGGGGCGGUCUCCUCCUAAAGAGUAACGGAGGAGCACGAAGGUUAGCUAAUCCUGGUCGGACAUCAGGAGGUUAGUGCAAAGGCAUAAGCUAGCUUGACUGCGAGAGUGACGGCUCGAGCAGGUGCGAAAGCAGGUCUUAGUGAUCCGGUGGUUCUGAAUGGAAGGGCCAUCGCUCAACGGAUAAAAGGUACUCCGGGGAUAACAGGCUGAUACCGCCCAAGAGUUCAUAUCGACGGCGGUGUUUGGCACCUCGAUGUCGGCUCAUCACAUCCUGGGGCUGAAGUAGGUCCCAAGGGUAUGGCUGUUNGGACGCCAGUCUGCAUGGAGCCAACCUUGAAAUACCACCCUUUAAUGGCUGGUGUUCUAACGUAGACCCGUGAUCCGGGUUGCGGACAGUGUCUGGUGGGUAGUUUGACUGGGGCGGUCUCCUCCUAAAGAGUAACGGAGGAGCACGAAGGUUAGCUAAUCCUGGUCGGACAUCAGGAGGUUAGUGCAAAGGUAUAAGCUAGCUUGACUGCGAGAGUGACGGCUCGAGCAGGUGCGAAAGCAGGUCUUAGUGAUCCGGUGGUUCUGAAUGGAAGGGCCAUCGCUCAACGGAUAAAAGGUACUCCGGGGAUAACAGG
rnacentral:rRNA from 1 species